AUUGAACGCUGGCGGAAUGCUUUACACAUGCAAGUCGAACGGCAGCACGGACUUCGGUCUGGUGGCGAGUGGCGAACGGGUGAGUAAUGUAUCGGAACGUGCCCAGUCGUGGGGGAUAACGUAGUGAAAAUUACGCUAAUACCGCAUACGAUCUAGGGAUGAAAGCGGGGGAGCGCAAGACCUCGCGCGAUUGGAGCGGCCGAUAUCAGAUUAGGUAGUUGGUGGGGUAAAGGCCCACCAAGCCAACGAUCUGUAGCUGGUCUGAGAGGACGACCCGCCACACUGGAACUGAGACACGGUCCAGACUCCUACGGGAGGCAGCAGUGGGGAAUUUUGGACAAUGGGCGAAAGCCUGAUCCAGCCAUUCCGCGUGCAGGAUGAAGGCCCUCGGGUUGUAAACUGCUUUUGUACAGAACGAAAAGGUUUCUACUAAUACUAGGAGCUCAUGACGGUACUGUAAGAAUAAGCACCGGCUAACUACGUGCCAGCCGCCGCCGUAA
rnacentral:rRNA from 1 species